rnacentral:rRNA from 1 species
GAUGAACGCUGGCGGCGUGCCUAAUACAUGCAAGUCGAGCGAACCUCUUCGGAGGUUAGCGGCGGACGGGUGAGUAACACGUGGGCAACCUACCUUGUAGAUGGGGAUAACAUCGAGAAAUCGGUGCUAAUACCGAAUAACACUUUUCUCCACAUGGAGAAAAGUUAAAAGUUGGCUUUUGCUAACACUACAAGAUGGGCCCGCGGCGCAUUAGCUAGUUGGUGAGGUAACGGCUCACCAAGGCGACGAUGCGUAGCCGACCUGAGAGGGUGAUCGGCCACACUGGGACUGAGACACGGCCCAGACUCCUACGGGAGGCAGCAGUAGGGAAUCUUCCGCAAUGGACGAAAGUCUGACGGAGCAACGCCGCGUGAGUGAUGAAGGCCUUCGGGUCGUAAAACUCUGUUGUUAGGGAAGAAUAAGUACCGUUCGAAUAGGGCGGUACCGUGACGGUACCUAACCAGAAAGCCACGGCUAACUACGUGCCAGCCGCCGCCGUAA